UAAGGAAUAUUGGACAAUGGAGGCAACUCUGAUCCAGCCAUGCCGCGUGAAGGAAUAAGGCCCUAUGGGUUGUAAACUUCUUUUAGACGGGACAAAACCCCUUUGCGUGUAAAGGGUUGAUGGUACUGUCAGAAUAAGCAUCGGCUAACUUCGUGCCAGCAGCCGCGGUAAUACGAAGGAUGCAAGCGUUAUCCGGAAUUAUUGGGUUUAAAGGGUGCGUAGGCGGACUAAUAAGUCAGUGGUGAAAGCCUGCAGCUUAACUGCAGAAUUGCCAUUGAUACUGUUAGUCUUGAGUACAGUUGAGGUAGGCGGAAUGUGUCAUGUAGCGGUGAAAUGCUUAGAUAUGACACAGAACACCGAUUGCGAAGGCAGCUUGCUAAGCUGUAACUGACGCUGAGGCACGAAAGCGUGGGGAGCAAACA
rnacentral:rRNA from 1 species